GCUGGCGUAGCUUAAUUAAAGCAUAACACUG
rnacentral:tRNA from 1 species